CAUGUACUCCCUUCGUCCGAAAAUAUUUGUCAUAUAAAUGGAUGUACCUAGACGCAUUUUAGUUCUAAAUACAUCCAUUUUUAUUCAUUUCUACGACAAGUAAUUCCGGACGGAGGGAGUAAGUG
rfam:Triticum aestivum genome assembly, contig: Triticum_aestivum_CS42_TGACv1_scaffold_472736_6AL